CUCUUUCUCCAGCUCGGACCUCCGCUGGUUUCUUUUCGUUGAUACGAUUUUAAUCAUGUUAUCACCGGGUUGAAACUGGUAGAGGUCCGACGCUGGAGG
rnacentral:pre_miRNA from 16 species